rnacentral:lncRNA from 1 species
CCCGAGUGCCCCUAUCUAUCUGGCAAUCAUGCACAACGUUCAUACAAUAUAAAGAAAUAUAGAAAAUUAUCAUAUGGAAACAUGGUCAAUAUCAUAAUUCAACUAGACAAUUUGAAAGGAAAUCCUUAAUGUUCAAAACACAUAACACCCAUUUGCGAAAUCUUUAUCAUUACAUGAUUCAACAUAUGUCCAAAAAUAAAAUUGGGACACGACCC